rnacentral:rRNA from 1 species
AGAGUUUGAUUCUGGCUCAGGAUGAACGCUAGCGGCAGGCCUAAUACAUGCAAGUUGAACGGUAACAUGAAUAGCAAUAUUUGAUGACGAGUGGCGCACGGGUGAGUAAUGCGUAUACAACCUACCUUUAACUGGUGGAUAGCUCGAAGAAAUUCGGAUUAAUACAUCAUAAUAUUCAGUAACCUCCUGGUAAUUGAAUCAAAGUUUCGACGGUUAAAGAUGGGUAUACGUGACAUUAGUUUGUUGGUAAGGUAACGGCUUACCAAGGCUACGAUGUCUAGGGGUUCUGAGAGGAUUGUCCCCCACACUGGUACUGAGACACGGACCAGACUCCUACGGGAGGCAGCAGUAAGGAAUAUUGGUCAAUGGAGGCAACUCUGAACCAGCCAUGCCGCGUGCAGGAUGACUGCCCUAUGGGUUGUAAACUGCUUUUUUACGAAAAAAACCUCCUUACGUGUAAGGAGCUGAUGGUAUCGUAAGAAUAAGGAUCGGCUAACUCCGUGCCAGCAGCCGCGGUAAUACGGAGGAUCCAAGCGUUAUCCGGAUUUAUUGGGUUUAAAGGGUGCGUAGGCGGAAUAGUAAGUCAGUGGUGAAAUCCUGCAGCUUAACUUGUGGAACUGCCUUUGAUACUGCUAAUCUUGAGUACAAUUGAAGUAGGCGGAAUGUGUCAUGUAGCGGUGAAAUGCUUAGAUAUGACACAGAACACCGAUUGCGAAGGCAGCUUACUAAACUGUAACUGACGCUGAGGCACGAAAGCGUGGGGAGCGAACAGGAUUAGAUACCCUGGUAGUCCACGCCGUAAACGAUGAUUACUCGAUGUAUGCUACUUGAAGUAUGUAUCCAAGCGAAAGCGUUAAGUAAUCCACCUGGGGAGUACGGUCGCAAGAUUGAAACUCAAAGGAAUUGACGGGGGCCCGCACAAGCGGAGGAGCAUGUGGUUUAAUUCGAUGAUACGCGAGGAACCUUACCUGGGCUUGAAAGUUAGUGACCGGUUCAGAAAUGAACUUUCCAGCAAUGGCACGAAACUAGGUGCUGCAUGGCUGUCGUCAGCUCGUGCCGUGAGGUGUUGGGUUAAGUCCCGCAACGAGCGCAACCCCUAUCGUUAGUUGCCAGCACGUAAUGGUGGGAACUCUAGCGAAACUGCCUGCGCAAGCAGUGAGGAAGGUGGGGAUGACGUCAAGUCAGCACGGCCCUUACGUCCAGGGCUACACACGUACUACAAUGGCAGAUACAAAGGGUUGCUACAUGGUGACAUGAUGCUAAUCUCUAAAGUUUGUCUCAGUUCGGAUUGAAGUCUGCAACUCGACUUCAUGAAGCUGGAUUCGCUAGUAAUCGGAAAUCAGCAAUGUUCCGGUGAAUACGUUCCCGGGCCUUGUA